UACAGAGGGUGCUAGCGUUGUUCGGAAUUACUGGGCGUAAAGGGCCAGUAGGCGGCCAACUAAGUCCGACGUGAAAUCCCAAGGCUUAACCUUGGAACUGCGUCGGAUACUGGAUGGCUUGAAUUCGGGAGAGGGAUGCAGAAUUCCAGGUGUAGCGGUGAAAUGCGUAGAUAUCUGGAGGAAUACCGGUGGCGAAGGCGGCAUCCUGGACCGACAUUGACGCUGAACGGCGAAAGCUAGGGGAGCAAACGGG
rnacentral:rRNA from 1 species